AUACGGAGGGUGCAAGCGUUAAUCGGAAUUACUGGGCGUAAAGCGUACGUAGGCGGUUGGUUAAGUUAGAAGUGAAAGCCCCGGGCUUAACCUGGGAACUGCAUUUAAAACUGGCGAACUAGAGUUGAGUAGAGGGGAGUGGAAUUUCAGGUGUAGCGGUGAAAUGCGUAGAGAUCUGAAGGAACACCAGUGGCGAAGGCGACUCCCUGGACUCGAACUGACGCUGAGGUACGAAAGCGUGGGUAGCAAACGGGAUUAGAAACCCUAGUAGUCC
rnacentral:rRNA from 1 species